rnacentral:rRNA from 1 species
UAAAGUCGAACACUUCCUAGGCCGUUAUACGUUUUCUAGAAACACGAAGCCCAAUUACACGAAAGCAACUUUAUUCCACAGCCUGACCCCACGAAAGCUAAGAAACAAACUGGGAUUAGAUACCCCACUAUGCUUAGCCCUAAACUUAGAUGUCCACAAACAUUCGCCCGAGUACUACGAGCACCAGCUUAAAACUCAAAGGACUUGGCGGUGCUCCAGACCCCCCUAGAGGAGCCUGUUCUAGAACCGAUAAUCCCCGUUCAACCUCACCACCCCUUGUUUUAACCGCCUAUAUACCGCCGUCGCCAGCUUACCCUGCAAAGGCUAAACAGUAAGCAAAAUGGGUACAACCCAGAACGUCAGGCCGAGGUGUAGCGUACGAGGUGGGAAGAAAUGGGCUACAUUUUCUACAAUAGAAUAUUUUACGAACGGCACCCUGAAACCACGUGCCCGAAGGUGGAUUUAGUAGUAAAAAGCAAAUAGAGAGUCCUUUUGAACUAGGCUCUGGAGCGCGCACACACCGCCCGUCACCC